CCAGAUGAUUGCCCGGCACGAAGAAGAAUUUGACCUCUUCAUGCGCAUGGACUUGGACCGCCGGCGUGAAGAAGCCCGCAACCCCAAGCGGAAGCCACGCCUGAUGGAAGAGGAUGAGCUUCCAUCCUGGAUCAUCAAGGAUGAUGCAGAGGUAGAGCGGCUGACAUGUGAAGAGGAAGAGGAAAAGAUGUUCGGCCGUGGUUCUCGCCACCGCAAGGAGGUAGACUACAGCGACUCACUGACAGAGAAGCAGUGGCUCAAGGCUAUCGAGGAGGGCACGCUGGAGGAGAUCGAAGAGGAGGUCCGGCAGAAGAAAUCUUCACGUAAGCGUAAGCGAGACAGCGAGGCCGGCUCCUCCACCCCGACCACCAGCACCCGCAGCCGUGACAAGGACGAGGAGAGCAAAAAGCAGAAGAAACGUGGGCGGCCACCUGCCGAGAAGCUGUCCCCAAACCCACCUAACCUCACCAAGAAGAUGAAGAAGAUCGUGGACGCUGUGAUCAAGUACAAAGACAGUAGUGGACGUCAGCUCAGUGAGGUGUUCAUUCAGCUCCCCUCUCGCAAGGAACUUCCUGAGUACUAUGAGCUCAUCCGGAAACCUGUGGACUUCAAGAAGAUCAAGGAACGCAUCCGAAACCACAAGUACCGCAGCCUCAAUGACCUGGAGAAGGACGUGAUGUUGCUGUGCCAGAAUGCUCAGACCUUCAACCUCGAGGGCUCCCUGAUCUACGAGGACUCCAUCGUCCUGCAGUCUGUCUUCACCAGCGUGCGGCAGAAAAUCGAGAAGGAGGAUGACAGUGAAGGCGAGGAAAGCGAGGAGGAAGAAGAGGGCGAGGAGGAAGGCUCUGAGUCUGAGUCCCGCUCUGUCAAGGUAAAGAUCAAGCUGGGUCGAAAGGAGAAGGCCCAGGACCGACUCAAGGGGGGCAGGCGGCGGCCAAGCCGGGGGUCCCGGGCCAAGCCUGUCGUGAGUGACGAUGACAGUGAUGAGGAGCAGGAGGAGGACCGCUCAGGAAGUGGCAGCGAGGAAGACUGAACCAGACAUUCCUGAGUUCUGACCCCGAGGCGCUCGUCCCGGCCAAGAUGGAGUAACCCUUAGCAGUGAUGGGUAGCACCAGAUGUAGUUUCGAACUUGGAGAACUGUACACAUGCAACCUUCCACAUUUUUAGGCAGAGAAGUAUAGGCCUGUCUGUUGGCCCUGGUCUGGCCUCGAGUCUCUACCAGCAUUAACUGUCUAGAGAGGGGACCUCCUG
rnacentral:lncRNA from 1 species